rnacentral:rRNA from 1 species
CCGGGAAUUUUGGGCAAUGGGCGAAAGCCUGACCCAGCAACGCCGCGUGAGGGAUGAAGUAUUUCGGUAUGUAAACCUCGAAAGAAUGGGAAGAAUAAAUGACGGUACCAUUUAUAAGCUCCGGCUAACUACGUGCCAGCAGCCGCGGUAAUACGUAGGGAGCAAGCGUUGUUCGGAUUUACUGGGCGUAAAGGGCGCGUAGGCGGCGCGGUAAGUCACUUGUGAAAUCUCUGAGCUUAACUCAGAACGGCCAAGUGAUACUGCUGUGCUAGAGUGCGGAAGAGGCAACCGGAAUUCUUGGUGUAGCGGUGAAAUGCGUAGAUAUCAAGAGGAACACCUGAGGCGAAGGCGGGUUGCUGGGCCGACACUGACGCUGAUGCGCGAAAGCGUGGGGAGCAAACA